rnacentral:tRNA from 1 species
CCGCCCAUAGCUCAGCUGGUAGAGCAGAUGGCUCUUAACCAUAAGGUCGGGGGUUCGAAUCCCUCUGGGCGGA